rnacentral:rRNA from 1 species
GACGAACGCUGGCGGCGUGCCUAAUACAUGCAAGUUGAGCGAUGAAGAUUGGUGCUUGCACCAAUUUGAAGAGCAGCGAACGGGUGAGUAACGCGUGGGGAAUCUGCCUUUGAGCGGGGGACAACAUUUGGAAACGAAUGCUAAUACCGCAUAACAACUUUAAACAUAAGUUUUGAGUUUGAAAGAUGCAAUUGCAUCACUCAAAGAUGAUCCCGCGUUGUAUUAGGUAGUUGGUGAGGUAAAGGCUCACCAAGGCGAUGAUACAUAGCCGACCUGAGAGGGUGAUCGGCCACAUUGGGACUGAGACACGGCCCAAACUCCUACGGGAGGCAGCAGUAGGGAAUCUUCGGCAAUGGACGAAAGUCUGACCGAGCAACGCCGCGUGAGUGAAGAAGGUUGUCGGAUCGUAAAACUCUGUUGGUAGAGAAGAACGUUGGUGAGAGUGGAAAGCUCAUCAAGUGACGGUAACUACCCAGAAAGGGACGGCUAACUACGUG